GAUGAACGCUGGCGGCGUGCCUAAUACAUGCAAGUCGAGCGAACAGACGAGGAGCUUGCUCCUCUGACGUUAGCGGCGGACGGGUGAGUAACACGUGGAUAACCUACCUAUAAGACUGGGAUAACUUCGGGAAACCGGAGCUAAUACCGGAUAAUAUAUUGAACCGCAUGGUUCAAUAGUGAAAGACGGUUUUGCUGUCACUUAUAGAUGGAUCCGCGCCGCAUUAGCUAGUUGGUAAGGUAACGGCUUACCAAGGCGACGAUGCGUAGCCGACCUGAGAGGGUGAUCGGCCACACUGGAAGUGAGACACGGUCCAGACUCCUACGGGAGGCAGCAGUAGGGAAUCGUCCGCAAUGGGCGGAAGCCUGACGGAGCAACGCCGCGUGAGGGAUGAAGGUCUUCGGAUCGGAAAACUCUGUUAUUAGGGAAGAACAAAUGUGUAAGUAGCUAUGCACGUCUUGACGGUACCUAAUCAGAAAGCCACGGCUAACUACGUG
rnacentral:rRNA from 1 species